rnacentral:rRNA from 1 species
GUCGAGSGRANAGACGAGGAGCUUGCUCCUCUGACGUUAGCGGCGGACGGGUGAGUAACACGUGGAUAACCUACCUAUAAGACUGGGAUAACUUCGGGAAACCGGAGCUAAUACCGGAUAAUAUAUUGAACCGCAUGGUUCAAUAGUGAAAGACGGUUUUGCUGUCACUUAUAGAUGGAUCCGCGCCGCAUUAGCUAGUUGGUAAGGUAACGGCUUACCAAGGCAACGAUGCGUAGCCGACCUGAGAGGGUGAUCGGCCACACUGGAACUGAGACACGGUCCAGACUCCUACGGGAGGCAGCAGUAGGGAAUCUUCCGCAAUGGGCGAAAGCCUGACGGAGCAACGCCGCGUGAGUGAUGAAGGUCUUCGGAUCGUAAAACUCUGUUAUUAGGGAAGAACAAAUGUGUAAGUAACUAUGCACGUCUUKACGGUACCUAAUCMGAAAGCCAC